UACGUAGGGCGCAAGCGUUGUCCGGAAUUAUUGGGCGUAAAGAGCUCGUAGGUGGUGUGUCGCGUCUGCCGUGAAAGCCCGGGGCUUAACUCCGGGUCUGCGGUGGAUACGGGCAGACUAGAGGCAGGUAGGGGAGAACGGAAUUCCCGGUGUAGCGGUGAAAUGCGCAGAUAUCGGGAGGAACACCGGUGGCGAAGGCGGCUCUCUGGAACGCAACUGACGCUGAGACGCGAAAAGCGUGGGGAGCAAACAGG
rnacentral:rRNA from 1 species